GACCAGGUAGAACAGUGGUAGUUCACCGAGGGAUAUCUGUGUUUGGCUAAAAGAUCUCCCCUGGGAGUCUGGGUUCGAACCCCAGUCUGGUCA